UACAGAGGUGUCAAGCGUUGUUCGGAUUCAUUGGGCGUAAAGGGUGCGUAGGCGGUCGGGUAAGUCGGAUGUGAAAUCUCAGGGCUCAACCCUGAAACUGCAUUCGAUACUGCCUGGCUAGAGGACUGGAGAGGAGACUGGAAUUUACGGUGUAGCAGUGAAAUGCGUAGAUAUCGUAAGGAAGACCAGUGGCGAAGGCGGGUCUCUGGACAGUUACCGACGCUGAGGCACGAAGGUCAGGGGAGCAAACGGG
rnacentral:rRNA from 1 species